rnacentral:tRNA from 1 species
UAGAAGUAAGUAUAGAGGAAGUACGGAGAGUUUUGAUCUCUCUAGAGUGGGUUCAAUUCCCAUCCUUCUAA